rnacentral:lncRNA from 1 species
AUAUAAGAAGUUCAGGGAAUCCCUUUCCUGCUUCAAGCUUCCUGGGGGAAUACAAAGUGUGCAUGGGGGAACUGCAUUACCUGUAUUGCCAGAAGACCAGAGGGCAAAGGCCAAGUCUCCAUGCACAUUUGUUAGAGGACAUCAACAUUUUGGUAGUGCUGUUGACCCUUGUCCAAGAAAACCGCCACUCAGCCACACAUGAUCCAGUCAGACCCAGCUCAGCAGUGUGUCUCUCACCAUUCCUAGCUCUGCACCCACUACACAGCCACCACCCAAGCCCAGUUGGGUUCCAGGCCUGUCUGCCUCCGCUGGCCUUGCUCUGUCCAGGCCCUGUUCUUGACUCCAGAGGCCCUCCCAUUGAGCAGUACUAUGAUGUCAUCCUGCUGAAAAAAAGUGAUGUGCAUAUGAAUGACGAUCUACCGCUGUGA